CAAGCUACACAACUGGCUCCCGCAUGCAGUGGUCUAGGUUGGUGUCAUGCAGGCUCCCUAGCUAAAGGUCUAGAGUCCCUGAGCACCCACUAGCUUGAGCCAGCUGUCUCUG